rnacentral:rRNA from 1 species
CCUACGGGUGGCAGCAGUGGGGAAUAUUGCACAAUGGGGGAAACCCUGAUGCAGCGACGCCGCGUGAGUGAGGCAGUAUUUCGGUAUGUAAAGCUCUAUCAGCAGGGAAGAAAAUGACGGUACCUGACUAAGAAGCCCCGGCUAACUACGUGACAGCAGCCGCGGUAAUACGUAGGGGGCAAGCGUUAACCGGAUUUACUGGGUGUAAGGGAGCGUAGGCGGCAAAUCAAGUCCGAAGUGAAAACCCAGGGCUCAACUUUGGGACUGCUGUUGAAACUGAGUAGCUAGAGUGCAGGAGAGGUAAGCGGAAUUCGUAGUGUAGCGGUGAAAUGCGUAGAUAUUAGGAGGAACACCAGUGGCGAAGGCAGCAUACUGGAGUGUAACUGACGUUGAGGCUCGAAAGCGUGGGGAGCGAACAGGAUUAGAUACCCUUGUAGUC